GACGAACGCUGGCGGCGUGCUUAACACAUGCAAGUCGAGCGGCAAGGCCCUUUCGGGGGUACACGAGCGGCGAACGGGUGAGUAACACGUGGGUGACCUGCCCUCAGCUCUGGGAUAAGCCUGGGAAACCGGGUCUAAUACUGGAUAUGACUCCAUGACGCAUGUUGUGGGGUGGAAAGCCUUGUGCGGCUGAGGAUGGGCCCGCGGCCUAUCAGCUUGUUGGUGGGGUGAUGGCCUACCAAGGCGACGACGGGUAGCCGGCCUGAGAGGGCGACCGGCCACACUGGGACUGAGACACGGCCCAGACUCCUACGGGAGGCAGCAGUGGGGAAUCUUGCGCAAUGGGCGAAAGCCUGACGCAGCGACGCCGCGUGAGGGAUGACGGCCU
rnacentral:rRNA from 1 species